rnacentral:snoRNA from 10 species
AGUUGUGGUGGUUUUCAUCUGGCGCAUUUGUUAAGUUUUCAAAUGGGCCUGACUCUGCCACAUACAUUAUAGAGGAGCUGGCAAGGGCUGGAGGACAGAGAGCUCUCUCGAGCCGUUCCCGUGUCCCCGCUUUGCUCUGACAGAC